rnacentral:lncRNA from 1 species
UUCGUAUCAACAUCACGUUCCUCGUCCACCUGUGGUUCCACACGUGCAUCUAUUUGAUCACCAUUUUGAUCUCGACAGUUAUAAUCAUCAUCCAUCAUAACAUGCUCAUUUUCAUUUGCAUCAUCACCACCCACUUCAUUAGAGCCAGUAUUGAUGUCUGUGUUGUUGAAAGUACCUCCUACCUCACCAUGGUGGAACCAAAUUGUGUAUCCAUCCACAAAAUCUCGCUUUAUUAAAUGCCUC